AUUGAACGCUGGCGGCAGGCCUAACACAUGCAAGUAGAACGAGUGGCGGACGGGUGAGUAAUGUCUGGGAAACUGCCUGAUGGAGGGGGAUAACUACUGGAAACGGUAGCUAAUACCGCAUACCAUCAGAUGUGCCCAGAUGGGAUGAGCUGGUUGGGGGGGUAACGGCUCACCCAGGCGACGAGCCGUAGCUGGUCUGAGAGGAUGACCAGACACACUGGAACUGUGACACGGUCCAGACUCGUACGGGAGGCAGCAGUGGGGACUAUUGCACAAUGGGCGCAAGCCUGAUGCAGCCAUGCCGCGGUUAUGAAGAAGGCCUGCGGGUUGUAAAGUACGGUCAGCUGGGAGGCGUUACCCGCAGAAGAAGCACCGGCUAACUCCGUGCCAGCAGCCGCGGUAAUAC
rnacentral:rRNA from 1 species